AGCACCCCACCGAACACACCCUUGCCAAGUUCAAUUUUACUUUCUCUUCUCUCUCCUCUUUGACUAGUCAAAACUUCUCUCUCUUAUCUCUUCUUCUCUCUCCUCUCUCUUCUCCCUCAUCCCACGUGAUCUUCUUCUUCUUCGUUCUUCUUUGUGCGAACGAGACCAAAACCAGCAAAGAAGAAAAUUAGCUCGCCGAAGCUCAUCACCGCUGCACCGGAGCCGGACCACCACCCGCGCAACACUCGCCCGCGCACGCCGCGUGCUCCGCCACCGCCCCUUCACGUGUGCCGUCCUCGCCGUGCACCAUUCAGCCUCUACUCAGCCCGUGUUCCGCCCCGUCCGGCCACCUCCGGCCACUGUGGGCCACCGCUCGGCCUCGCCAAGCCACCACCCGCUCUCCCGACCUCUUGCCGCCCCCAACCCUCUCUCUUUCUUGCUGUUUUGCGGCCGAACCAGCAAACCCGCGAGUGGGUUUCCAGCCGGUUCGUGGGCCGUUUUGGGCCGUUUCCAGGCCCCGGAUGCGCAAGUCGCUUUGGGAAGUUUCGUUCCUCGCGUCGCCCCCGUCGGAUUGAUCCGAUUUGCGUGCGAUUUGGUGAGUAAUCUCACUAAUCUUGGAUUAGUUGGCUAAUUAUGCUUAAGGUUGGUUUAGUUUUAAUUAAUUGUGUUUAGGUUGUUAGAUUAGAAUAAAUUAGCAAUUAUUAGUCAAUUGUGAUGCGAUUUAGAUAAAUUGAUUGUGCAAUUAGUAAGUAGACGUGGUCUACUAAUUAUUGGAAGUGCCUCGGGAUUUUUCCUGACCCUUAGUGGGCUUCAAUUAGGCUUUUCGGGCCUAAGUGGAUUUUUUUAGUAUUUAAAUAUUAAUUUUCGGAAUUAAAUUAAAUAAUUAUUUAUUUUUCGAAAAUUUAACUGAGUUGAUUCGGAACUGGAAUUUUAUGCUGAUGACUGUGGUGAAGUCUAUUUAUUUAACUGAGCACCAAUUUGAGCUAAAUUGGAAUUAUUAUAAUUAAUUUUUAAUUCUCGAAAUUAAUUAAUUAUUUAUUUAUUUUUCGAAAAUUCAAUUGAGAUGGCCCGUGACCGGAAUAUUAUGCUGAUGAUGGUGGUGAAGUCCGUUUAUUUAAUUGGGCCUUAUUUUGAGCUAAACGAAACUUUUAAUAUUUAAUAAUUAAUUUUCGAAAUUAAUUAAUUAAUUAUUUAUUUUUCGGAAAUUAAGUUUGAGAUGGCCGACGACUGAAAUCUCGUGUUGAUCGUCGUGGCACAGUCCGUUUAUUUAAUUGAGCUUUAAUUUGUGCUGAAUUGAUUUAAUUGUGGAUAAUUACUUUAGAAAUGGGAUGAAUCAUCAUGAAAGGCACGUGGCUCGGUGAAUAGUACGUCAUCUCGGAGAAUGCACGUGGCUCAGUGAUUUGGUAUAUCACUUCGGAGAAUGCACGUGGCUCGAUGAUUAGUACGUCACCUUGAAGAAUGCACGGAGCUUGAUGAUUAGAUAUUUCACCUCGGAGAAUGCACAUGGCUCGGUGACGAAGUAUGUCGCCUUGGAGAAUGCAUGUGGCUCGGUGAUUAAGUGUGGCAUCCUAAAAGAGACACGUGGGCUCGGUAAUUUGAUGCAUUACCUCGGAGAAUGCACGUGGUCUCAAAGAGUACAUUUGGCAUCUAAAAGGACACGUGGGCUCGGUAAUUUGAUGCAUUACCUCGGAGAAUGCACGUGGUCCCAAUGAGUACAUUUGGCAUCUUGAAGAGACACGUGGGCUCGGUGACUUGAUGCAUCGCCUCGGAGAAUGCACGUGGGCUCGCUGAUUCAAAAUGGCAUUUUAAAGGGCACGUGGGCUCGGUAAAUUAAUGCAUUACCUCGGAGAAUGCACGUGACUCGGUAAUUGGUUUUAUCAAUUGAGACUGUAUAGCAAUAGCUUGAAUGACCGGGAAAUGGUCAGACUGAUAUGUAAUCGACUAGGUCGAUUGAUCAUUGAUUUGAUUUGAUGUCGUGGAUUGAUUGACCGAUUAGAAAUGACCGUGAGAGGUCUUGUUGGCAUAUAAUCGACUAUGUCAAUUUGAUCGAUGCUUCGAUCUGUGUUAUGAUUGCUUGGGUGCCUAUUAUGAAUUGUACUGACUUGCAAGUGGGAUCUAAGACCAAGGUAAGUCCUCUGCUCUGUGCGUGUUUAAGCAGCCUGUAGUAUAAUGGUUUACUAAUCGGGCUUAGUGGGUAGAACUCGCUAAGACGUAGUCUCAUCCCAGUUUGGGGAAAAACAUUUCAGGAUUCCGUUGAGGAGUUGAGGAGGAGGAGUCUGAGAAGGAGAACUCGAAGGCGAACUUGAGGAAAAUGAUUUUUGGAAGAAGAAGAUAAUUCCGAAGGGGGUCUUGAGUACGACCCAGAUGGACUGAGAGUCUAUCUUCUUUUGAGAAUUCCUUUUGAAGUGAAUAGUUAUGAAGUGGUUUGUGUUUUGUAUAAAAGUUUGGCUAUAAGUUUCAAUAUGAAAAAUAUGGCCCUGCUUUUCUAUCCCAUCGUUUCAUUGUCUGGGGAUUUUAACUGCUUCCACAUGUGCUUAAUAAACGAAAGGGUCGGCGAUACUUUGUCCUGGGAUAUCGCAUUAUAAAAUCGACCAAGUGAGAAGGAUGGGUGCGUGCCCGAGGAUCAGGGCGUGACACAGGCUGCCAAAUCUGGCCGUUCAACCGCGAGAUAUGGCUAUCCAACGGUUGGCUGGCGGUUGGCCGACAACCAACC
rnacentral:lncRNA from 1 species